rnacentral:tRNA from 1 species
UGGCUCAGAUGGUAAAGAACCUGCCUGCAAUGCAGGAGACCUGGGUUUGAUUCCCGG